UCCCCAUAUAUAUACACAGCAGCUACAUUUGGAUAGCUCUUCGGCACCGGCGCCGGUCAGUCGAAUGCACUCAAAGGCAACAUGGGCAGUCAGAUAUCAAGGGGACCAGAAUGUCUGUACCAGUUAAGUUCUUGAAGCCUGUGAGCAGACGUACCAUUGAAGAGAAGAAGCUGAGGCUUCCGUCACGGCUUAUUAGAAAUUUUGGCAAUGAACUUACCAGUGAGGUUGCCAUUCUUGGUUUCUCUAAUGGAUUCUUUAUGCGAGUGAGAUUAUCAGAGGCCAAUGGAAAAGUUUGGAUUGACACUACUAAAUUGGUGAAGCAUUUUCAUAUUCGCGAAGGGUUCAUUUUAGAAUUUACAUAUAAAGUUUUCUGCAAUUUCUCUUCUAAAUAUUUUCAAAUUGAAUAUCCAUAUGAUAAUGCUAGUAGUACUAGUGAUGAGGAACAUUCAAGCAGUAAGCAGUGCCCUCUGCAUCAUGAUGAUGUAGAAAGUGGUGACGAUGAUUCUGUCGAGAACAAUGGUUCCACUCCUGAUCCACCUAAGGGUCAGUCAAGUCGAAGACGAGUAACCAUCUCAAAGAAAAAUUUGCGCAAGUCUUCUGCUAGUGUUGGUCUAACACAACAGUCUAACGGAUAACAACCACGGAAAGAAGCAAAACCAGUAACGAAACGCCUAGAAGAGCCAGGAAAAGAAGCAAAACCAAAUAUUCCAAGUGAAUUUUCUAAGAAGUACAUGAACAAGGUUCAAAUUACACUAGUGGCGCGUGAUAGAACAGAAUGGCGUCUGAAGAUAAGAGUCAGACAACUUAGAUACUUGAGUUUUGGGAAUGGCUGGAAUUUCUUUUCCAAACAGAGUCACUUGAAGGAAGGAGACGUCUGUCUCUUUUAGCUUAUCAGAUAAGGACUUUACCCUGAAAGUAUCAGUAUUUCCUAGCUAAGUCCUCAGAGUAAAGUUCUGUGAAAUGCUUGAAAUGUGUAGGUUUUACAUUUUGGUAGCUGAUGUUUAAUUCUGCUAAGUUGAUGCUGAUGGCAAAAUUCUGGAUAAACUUCUAAUGGGAACCUCCAAUGAACUGCAUGUUUCAGUAUCUGAGUGUUGAUAUUGUAUUCCGUCGGCUAAUUGCAUUCAAAGCAUAUCAUAGAUCAUACUCUUGCACUGCUAUUUCAAGCAUCUGAAACUAGAAGCUGUUGGCUAUGAUCAAAAGAUUUGUCAAAGGGGAGGACAUGCCUGUGCAUGCAUGCAAAUUGCAACGUAGGAAUUUUGUAGAACCAUUAAUAUUUCCUCUGUAGACAUGAUUAACCAUCUUGAUUCUCUUUUAAAAUAAUUACCAAAAUAGGCAAAUCAAAGCUGAAAUUUGGCAUC